UCGUAAUAGUUGAUGUAGACCCUGCGGGGGG
rnacentral:piRNA from 1 species